rnacentral:ncRNA from 1 species
AAAAGCUCGGAAAAUAGAUAGAGCUCCUUGUGUGCAAGUCACACAGCGUCGCUCUCCUAAUUUUCAGUCGCUUUU